UACGAAGGGUGCAAGCGUUAAUCGGAAUUAUUGGGCGUAAAGAGCUCGUAGGCGGCUUGUCGCGUCGGAUGUGAAAGCCCGGGGCUUAACUCCGGGUCUGCAUUCGAUAUGGGCAGGCUAGAGUUCGGUAGGGGAGAUCGGAAUUCCUGGUGUAGCGGUGAAAUGCGCAGAUAUCAGGAGGAACACCGGUGGCGAAGGCGGAUCUCUGGGCCGAUACUGACGCUGAGGAGCGAAAGCGUGGGGAGCGAACAGG
rnacentral:rRNA from 1 species